rnacentral:rRNA from 1 species
AAAUUGAAGAGUUUGAUCAUGGCUCAGAUUGAACGCUGGCGGCAGGCCUAACACAUGCAAGUCGAACGGUAACAGGAAGCAGCUUGCUGCUUUGCUGACGAGUGGCGGACGGGUGAGUAAUGUCUGGGAAACUGCCUGAUGGAGGGGGAUAACUACUGGAAACGGUGGCUAAUACCGCAUAACGUCGCAAGACCAAAGAGGGGGACCUUAGGGCCUCUUGCCAUCAGAUGUGCCCAGAUGGGAUUAGCUAGUUGGUGAGGUAACGGCUCACCAAGGCGACGAUCCCUAGCUGGUCUGAGAGGAUGACCAGCCACACUGGAACUGAGACACGGUCCAGACUCCUACGGGAGGCAGCAGUGGGGAAUAUUGCACAAUGGGCGCAAGCCUGAUGCAGCCAUGCCGCGUGUAUGAAGAAGGCCUUCGGGUUGUAAAGUACUUUCAGCGGGGAGGAAGGUGUUGUGGUUAAUAACCGCAGCAAUUGACGUUACCCGCAGAAGAAGCACCGGCUAACUCCGUGCCAGCAGCCGCGGUAAUACGGAGGGUGCAAGCGUUAAUCGGAAUUACUGGGCGUAAAGCGCACGCAGGCGGUCUGUCAAGUCGGAUGUGAAAUCCCCGGGCUCAACCUGGGAACUGCAUUCGAAACUGGCAGGCUUGAGUCUUGUAGAGGGGGGUAGAAUUCCAGGUGUAGCGGUGAAAUGCGUAGAGAUCUGGAGGAAUACCGGUGGCGAAGGCGGCCCCCUGGACAAAGACUGACGCUCAGGUGCGAAAGCGUGGGGAGCAAACAGGAUUAGAUACCCUGGUAGUCCACGCCGUAAACGAUGUCUACUUGGAGGCUGUGCCCUUGAGGCGUGGCUUCCGGAGCUAACGCGUUAAGUAGACCGCCUGGGGAGUACGGCCGCAAGGUUAAAACUCAAAUGAAUUGACGGGGGCCCGCACAAGCGGUGGAGCAUGUGGUUUAAUUCGAUGCAACGCGAAGAACCUUACCUGGUCUUGACAUCCACAGAAGUUUGCAGAGAUGCGAAUGUGCCUUCGGGAACUGUGAGACAGGUGCUGCAUGGCUGUCGUCAGCUCGUGUUGUGAAAUGUUGGGUUAAGUCCCGCAACGAGCGCAAC